GUGCUUGCUUGGGCAGCACAUAUACUAAAAUUGGAAUGAUACAGAGAAAAUUAGCAUGGCCUCUGCGCAAGUAUGACAUGCAAAUUCAUGAAGUGUUCCAAAUUAAA
rnacentral:snRNA from 1 species